GGGCCUGUAGCUCAGUUGGUUAGAGCGCGCGCUUGAUAAGCGUGAGGUCGGAGGUUCAAAUCCUCCCGGCCCACCA
rnacentral:tRNA from 1 species